CUCUCUCUCUCUCUCUCUCUCUCACACACACACCUGUUUGCACUUCCUUACACACCUGUACGCGUGAAAUUAAUUAGACUUCAUAUACACACACACAUACCUGCGCGUACACCUGUCUUUUUGCUAAUGUUAAUUGAUAAUAACUUCUUCACCUUUGCUUAUUGGAAAGGAAAUAAUAAUAAUAAUAAUAAUAAUAAUAAUAAUAAUAAUAAUAAUAAUAAUAAGUGCUAGUAAGUCUGUUUUAUUUGUUAACUUCUAAUGAUGAAAAAAAAUGUAGUGGAAUAUGACAUUAAAAAAAGAAAAUUAUAUAGUUAAAAAGUAAAGAAAAGAAUGAAAAGAUUAGAAAGACGAAAAAACUGAGCUAUUUUCCUAUUUUCCUCAUUUUCCUUCAAUUAUCACUUUCUUAAACACACUCAAAGUCAAUAUAGAGUGUAGAAGUUGAACGAUUAAUCUAUUCUCGUGUUCUUCUCUAUCUAUCUAUCUAUCUAGUACUAUUUUGGCAAGGCUUUGGUGGAGGUUGUGUUAGUGUGUCCAUGGGUAGUGUUAUGAGCCUGGUGAUAGUUUGGCAAGGCUUUGGUGGAGGUUGUGUUAGUGUGUCCAUGGGUAGUGUUAUGAGCCUGGUGAUAGUUUGACAAGGCUUUGGUGGAGGUUGUGUUAGUGUGUCCAUGGGUAGUGUUAUGAGCCUGGUGAUAGUUUGGCAAGGCUUUGGUGGAGGUUGUGUUAGUGUGUCCAUGGGUAGUGUUAUGAGCCUGGUGAUAGUUUGGCAAGGCUUUGGUGGAGGUUGUGUUAGUGUGUCCAUGGGUAGUGUUACGAGCCUGGUGAUAGUUUGGCAAGGCUUUGGUGGAGGUUGUGUUAGUGUGUCCAUGGGUAGUGUUACGAGCCUGGUGAUAGUUUGACAAGGCUUUGGUGGAGGUUGUGUUAGUGUGUCCAUGGGUAGUGUUACGAGCCUGGUGAUAGUUUGACAAGGCUUUGGUGGAGGUUGUGUUAGUGUGUCCAUGGGUAGUGUUACGAGCCUGGUGAUAGUUUGACAAGGUUUCUGCACCUUGGACGUAAAGAAACACUCAUGGGAACCCAAAUAAACUCCUUUGUGGUCUUUGUUAAUAGUUGUGAGUUUCGAAAGCGUCUCAGGAUAUGACUUCACAACCCAACCCUUAAGCAACACACCAAUUUUAUACUCUGUUAUCUCUCUUGCUGUCAUAUCCUGUUAGUUUCCACGUAUUCAAGUAGUAGUAGUAGAAGUAGUAGUAGUAGCAGUAGUAGUAGUAGUAGUAGGGACGAGAAAUAUGAAAGCACAGUCAAUCAUUCCUCUUGCAUAAUAUUCUUGGACAGUUUGAUUUUUCCUUUUAUUUUGUUAUUUGCUUGUUUGUUGGCUUUCUGUGUGUGUGUGUGUGUGUGUGUGUGUGUGUGUGUGUGUGUGUGUGUGAGUGUGAGUGUGUGUGUGUGUGUGAGUGAGCGUGAAGAAAAUGGAAUAAUGAAAUGAAGGUGAGA